CCCUUAGAUAUUCUGGGCCGCACGCGCGCUACACUGAUGCAUGCAACGAGUUCUAUCCUUGGCCGGAAGGCCUGGGUAAUCUGUGAACGUGCAUCGUGAUAGGGAUAGAUUAUUGCAAUUAUUAAUCUUGAACGAGGAAUUCCUAGUAAACGCAAGUCAUCAGCUUGCAUUGAUUACGUCCCUGCCCUUUGUACACACCGCCCGUCGCACCUACCGAUCGAAGGUAAUGAUGAGCCCUCAGGAUUGUGGCCUCGUCGCGUCAGCGUCUUGGCUGCGAGAAUCUGUGCAAAUCCCUACCUUUAGAGGAAGGUGAANUCGUANCA
rnacentral:rRNA from 1 species